rnacentral:lncRNA from 1 species
CGUGACGAACCGCGAAUGCUGCCGCGCCGUUAUUAGACCUGACGACCCGACCGACCGACGUGCAGUAUCAGUCGAACGCUUUGCUCUGUCACGUGUAGGGCUUUCGCAUCAGUGUCUGUGUAAGUUUUGUUCGGAUUUUCUCGUGUUCGUGUCCGAUCGUUAUCUUCAUAUAAGCCGUUCGCCUCAACAGAAUAUUAUUAUUUUAAUAAUAAUAUUAUGUACACGUCGUGAGUGGUUUGGAACAUUAACCGUUAACCGACGUCAACCGUGCGAGGAAAUCAACGAACGGACGAAAUACUAAAUAUACUAUUGUUAACUAUCCGCUAAAAUAACGAGCAAACCAGAUGCAUUUCAUAAACGACGUGACCAAGUUCGUCUGCAGCAGUCUCCGGAACGAAUCGACCAGGUUCAGGGUGAGUCGCGUUGACAGCCGUUUUAUAAUAUUGUAAUUUUAACGCAGUUUUUGCAAAAAUUUAAAAAAAUAUUUAUCGACGUAAAUUAAAUUUUUCGUGUACAAUAUUACAAGUAGCAAUAUUAUUAUCAUAAGUAUUCACAAAAUCUGAAAAAGUUCACAACGAUUUUAGAGGUAAAAGGAUAAAACGCCAUGAUAUUGUAACAUUAUUUUUAAUAACCUUGUCGUCGAGUUCUCAAAAAAAUAUAUGUAUGUAUACGAAAAACUGUAUUUACAAUUUUUUGUAGUAACAUACUCAGUGGCGUUUUCGGGAAUUUCGUACGGAGGUAUGACGAUGGCGACGAUGACGUCCUCAGAAAAUAUCGAAAAAUCUAAACAGCAAGGUCUAAAAUCGGUAUUCCAGCGAUGUCGUGUAGGUAUUCUGUAGCUUUUUUCGUAUUGUGAUUGGUCUUAGUAAUCUCGGUAUAACAUUCAGUAGGUAACUAAGAUGUAUCACGGGAAAUUUCCAGAAUCUAGCUGAAUUCGUCUUUUUUCUCGUUCGGGUUACAGUAUGGUCAGUUGAUUUUUUGGUGUUAUCUGCGCAUUAGCUAUGUUCGUUUAAAAACAAAAUAUGUUAAAUUUUGAUAAGGAAUACACAAGACAAAUUAUUAUAUGUGUCGAAUCUACACAACAGUUGAAAAUUUACGUAAAAUUGUGUAGGUGUACUUUUUGUUAAAAUGAACGAAACUAAUAGAAACAUAAUGGAAUUUAAACUUUUUUCGUUACAUUUCGCUGCAUCGCGACAAUCGAGGGUCGCUUAAACCGAUCAAUAAUAGCGCGAGGGACUCAAUGGAGUAAUUAGGACCUUUCUUUGAGGGGUGAAUAUAAAUAUUUGUCAAAAAUAUUAAGAGAAAAUCAUAACCAAUACCUGUAUAUACCAUAUCACCAUAGGUGCAAAUCGCGUUUGAGAUUUUAGGGAACUGAAGUCAUGACUCUAGACCAGAACUGAGGUGUUUAUUACAAAAGUAUUCAUCUCUUAAACAAUUUUUACUCGUUACGCUCGAUAUCGAAUAUAUUACACUUUUACCUAAUUUCAGUAUAAACAAACAACAAAAUUUAGGUGCCUACUACACAUUUUACGAAUGCAAUAUUUCAACUAUAAUCUAUAAUAAAACAUGUUUGUGGGGGACCAUUAACUUUUUUGGAGAAAUUAAGCACCCAAAGUCUUCUCUUAUUUAUGCUUAUGUAUAUCACACAAUCUUAUUAACAUUUAACAUUAAUAAUAAAUAAAUAUUGAUAUAAUAUACAGUUUUUCACAUUUGAUUUUAUGUAUUAUGUAUAUGCCACAAGUUAUUAGAAAAAAGGAAAAAGAAAGAGCUGAUACUGGGGAUGGGAGCGGCCACUGUUGUAGAUAAGAAGUUGGGAAGGUAGGACACAUAAGGUUAUUUCAUUUAUAUCUGUAAGCAACGAUAAACUAUUGCUUGAUGAAAUACUAUUCGUGCCCAGCUCGGUAAUACAUAAUAUGAAUUACCGUAAUUUUUUGCGAUUUUCGAUUAAAUUUGAUUUCAAAACGCUUAUUAAAAAAAAAAAAAAAAAUCGUCUGAUGAUUGUGGAAAUUUUACCGCGUCUAGGUAAUUCCAAUAUAAGUAUUAUUACCAAUUUUCAAGUUUCUACGUGUAUUUAUUACCGAAUUACAACAAAAAAAAUCCCGAAAAUUCAAAUUUUUUAAAAGCUCAAAAGUGGCUUAAAAGACUUUGAUUAAUUUUUUUUUUUGGUAGAAAACCUCGUCCUUGUUUUUAUAAAAUAAUAAAAUCUUGAAAUUAUACGUUUUCCUACGUUUUUAUCCUAUUUAAGUGCUUUUAUUUGAAAAAUGGCGUCGAAAAUCAAAAAAUGAUCUAUAAAAAGCACCAUCUAGACAACUUAGGCCUUCAUAAAAGUUGUUACACGUAAAAAUCGGAGUAAGUUUAUUAGGAAAAAGCGUGUCCACAGACUAAAAGAAAGAAAGAAAGAAAUAAUAAAAAAAUAAACAUCUUAGUAUAACCAAUAGUUCCCUCGCUACUCUCGGAAUCUAAAACUGGUCAAAUGGUCUGGUUUCUUGACUUCUUUGGAAUUGAUGUACCAUUCACGUCACCCCUUUGAGUAAUCCACUGGUGGUUAUAUAACUUACUAUCCUGUGCUCGGUGUUCUCCGGAUAUUUAUCGUUGCAAACGAGGUUUUUUCCCCCGAUCUACGUAUUUUUCCAACGGUUAGUUUAUCACAGUGGAUUGUGUGCAAGUAUUCUUUGACCGCACAAAACAUGAUUAUCGAGUCUCUCUUACCCGAUGAUAACGAAUGAUAAAGAAAAACCUAUAGAUUCGCAUACCUAUAUGUAGGUUCCAUUCAGACCUUGGCUCCGGGUAAUUUGAAUAGAGAACGUGUUUUUCGCAGCAGUCGUCGCCUUAAUAUUUUGUAAUAUUAUUAUGAUUAUUAUGCAAAAUAUUCGUCUCGAAUGAAAGUAUAUAGAUAUAUGUUUUUGUUCACUUAAUAUUGUAAAUAUUAUGGUUCGGAAUUAUGCUCAGAUAUUUUUUGAAUCUGCAGGUUACACUUUUAUCCGUCAGGUUAGGUUAUAUGGUAAAUCGAUUUAAUAUUAUUUUUAAUGUUCUAGGUUUGUAGUAGUAGUACUACUACGAGAAGAAAUAAUAAUAGCCAACUAUUUUAAAAGCUGAUUGGAUAACUAUUUUUAUACACGUCUGGUUUAUCUUAUGCAAAUAAUACGUUAUUACUGUAUUAUAUUCAACACGUAUCGUCUGUUUUCACAUCGCACGUUUUCGGGUCAUUUUCCGUUUUGUCGAUAACGAUUAUUGUAAUCAUAAUAAACUUUCACAAUAAAAUUUUUAAUCUACAACGGCAAAUUUUGACUACAAUAACAUACUAGGUAUAACAAGGUACAUAGGCGUACUCAAGGGGGGAGUUAUGGGGUUUAUUCUCCCCUCAUUAGCCUUUUUUUUUACAAUCAAUUUGUUUGAAAUUUGUGAGGGAUGUGAAAAUUUAUUGCCUCAUUGUAUAGAUUAUAUUUACAAUUACAAUAUAAAUAUAUUUGUUGCACCAAAAAAUGAUUGAUAAAUUAUUAAAAAUAAAAAGUGCAUUAAAUUUUGUAGUGUUUUUGUUUUAGAUUCUGAGUGUAGUGAAGAAUGUAUUAAUUUUACUAAGAUGUUUCUUUUUUUUCCCUUUUUUUUUAUACUGUGUACAAAAAUUCUACUAGAAAUCUUGCUCAGCUGUAUACGAUAUAGACUCUUUUCUGAAAGUCAAUUUUCUUAGGGUAUUUUUUUGAUUUUCGCAGCAGUUUUCCAAAUAAAACCGUAAAAGUGGGAAAAAACUAAGAAAAACGGGAAAUUUACGAAAAUAAUGCUUUGAAUAUUUUUACGAUUUUGUUAUUUGUUGUAAUUCAGUUAAAAGUGUUCCUAGGGACAUUGGACAAUCAUAUUUUAUUUGCCUUUUCUAAACAUGGUAAAAUUUUUAAAACAAUAGAGGUAUUUUUAGGCUUUAUAUAAAAAUUGUAAUAUUUUAAUUGAAAUUCUGUUAAAAAUAUUCGUAUCGAUUUUAUGAACCAGAACUUUAGACAAAAAAUUUAUAAUUACCUUUUCUAGACGUGGUGAAAUUUAAAAAAAAUUUAAGUCAAUUUUUAGUCUAUUUAUAGACAUUUUAAUUUUGAGAGUUUUAUAAGUAAUUUUUAUUCGGUUGGUACUGUGUGGUAAAAUUGUUAGACUAAAUAGAAAUGCGUGAACAUUUAAAGGGAAGUUCAUUAAAAGUCUUAUUUUGUUUUUUUAUUUUUAAAUUUUGUUAUUUGUUGUAAUUUAGUUAAAAAUAUUCGUAGAACAUUUGGACAGAAAAUUUAUAUUUACCUUUUCUAGACGUGGUAAAAUUUUAGCCAUUUUUGAGCGCGUAAUUUUUAGUCGGUAGGUAAUAAAAAUUGCUUUAAACAGAGGAUAUCGGGAAAUUUACGAAAUUAAUGCUUUUUAUUAGUUUACAUUUUGUUAUUUUUUGUAAUUCAGAUAAAAAGAGACUUGACAUUUGGACAGAAAACUUAUAUUGGUCUUUUUUAGACCUGGUAAAACUGUAUAAAUAUUUGAGCCCAUAUUUGAGCCACCUAUAUAUAGACAUUUUAAUUUUGUGAGUAAUUUUCAUUUGGUUGGUACUCCGUGAAUAAAAUUGUUAGGCUACACAGAAAUGCUUGAAAAUUGAACAGGAAAUUAAUUAUAAGUCGCGUUAUUUUUUUUUAACCUGUACAUCUGAUAUUUUACUUUAAAUAUUUUUUAACUAAAAACUUUCUUCACCUAAUAGAAUUUCGAAAUAUCGAAUUGAAUCGUUCCAUUAUCUCGAAAAUGAAAAAAAUGUACUACCUACUACGCUCCUUGUUCCUUGUGCCUUUCAUAGACUUUAUUAAAACUGAAGCUGCUAAAGUUCAUUCAAAUAUCUAAUAAAAUUAAUACAAUAUAAUAAUUAUAAUUAAUAUAAUUAUACAAUAUUAAUACAAUUAUUACCAAUAUCAAGGGCCUAUUUAUGGCCCGAAAUUUCAAGAAAAUUUGUUUAAAUUUGCUUAUGUCCUAUUAGAUGUAAAUUGUAAAAAUUCAAUAUAAUAUUGUAUUAAAAAUGUUAGUAACAAGAUAUUCAUGUAAUGUAGUAGUAUGUCCAAUAAUUUUGAUCGUAACAAUCACGACUUUUAGUCCGGUACAUAUAGUACUAUUGACUUGUAAUCUAUGAGAGAACGUAAUUUGACGUGCGGUACUGCUACAUUAUCGUAACUUUAAUUUGUUUUACCCAGAAUCGAUUGACUGAUACACAUACGUCUCCGUCACCACGCAGUCAGCAUGCGAGUUAAAAAUAAUUCCGAGUAGUUGACUUUAUUAUCGCCGAAAAGUCGUGACGGCGACGAUCGGUAACAUGAUGGUCAGUUUUCGUCGUAUAGUUUUUAUCGCUUUUAUAGUUUAUUGUUAGGUACUAUUUGUUGUCCGAUAAAUGCGUGGGCUAAUUACCCAACUUAAAUGAUAUUAUUGAAACAGAGUAUGAGCUAAGUGGGAAAAUAUUGAAGUAAACUACAACUGCUAUAAAGGCUUUAAGUGCUUGAGAUAAUUUAAUGCACCCAAAAAUGUAUAAGUUACUAAAAAUACUAGCUAUUCUAGUAUCCACCUAGAAGUAGCUACCAGUACUACCAGUAGCUACUGCUGAACGCAGCUUUUCGACGUUGAGAAGAUUCAAAACGUAUCUAAAAAAUACAAACUCAGAAUCUAGGCCAGUGGGACUUGCAUUUUUAGCAAUUCAUCGAGACAUUGAUAGGUACACGAUGAAAUGUUAUUAGACAAAUUUGCCAACAGUGGCAAGGAAAAAAAAAUUUUAAUUUAAUAUAAUUUGUUACAUUACCAUUAAUAUUAUAAUUAUUAUGUAUUCUAUUUGUUUAUUAAUUUUGUGAAAAUAUUUAAGACUAUAAACAAAAUUAAAAUUGUUUAGUAAAUUUCUUAUUCUUGUUUUUAAUAUGUUGAAUUUGGGAAUUUACCUUGGAGAAAAUACCCAACCUCUCCUAAUAAAUAUCUAAAUACGCCCCUAACCUAGGGGUACCAUUUCAGUUUUAAAAUAGGGCUACCAAAUUUUUAAUCAGGUCAAAUUUAUCCACCACCAGACCACAGUUGAUAACAGUGAAAUUUAGGAGUCAUUUAAGACUUACUAGAGAUGAAUUCAUCUAAAAGCAAAAAGCUUUUUUCAUUUGCAAAAAGCCUACAAUAAUUAAAGUAGAACCAUGUAUACUUAUGAAUUUCUAUCUCUUAAAUUAAAUCAGCAAGCAUUUGUAUUUAUAUUGGCCAUUAUGUCAUUAUUUUGUUAUCAAUUAUUUAGAGAAUCGCACAUUUCUGAUUUUUGCUUUUGUCGAUAAAGGCCUCAACUCGUGUUGUUUCGUUUUGUAUGUUUUGAACACGACAGGUUCCUUUUUGAUUGCACGAAAUAAUUUGUUACCUAUCGUUCUACCAACAUAACCAUUUACCAUUCAUCACGUAUUUUACUUAAAAUAUAAUAUCAUUAUUAUAUUAUACCGACCUAUCAUUUAAUGAAUACUUAUUAUUGUUUUGCUAUCAGUAUUUCACUGUCUCGUCUGUUUUGUACUUAUUAAAUAUGAAAUGGAAUUAUGUAGCAAUUGUGAUAAAUAAUGAAUAUAAAUUACGAGUAGAGCAGUAAAAUGAGGAUAUAUUAUUCUGUUGAAUUUGGAAGAAAGUACAAGAUAAGUUUAAUUUUUUAUAGGGCGUAAUUUACCAUCACAGAGUUCAUAUUAAAUUAUUAAACGACUAAUUAAUUUACAUUAAUUUUAUUAUUAAAAAACGAAAAACACAAGGAAAAUAACUAGUUAUUAAUAAUAAAAUUAAUUCUGUUGUAAAUUUGUGAUCAUAAUAACUGAUAUGGCGUUAUCAGCUAUAGGUAACCAGCACGGCCACAAGUUGAAUUUAUUCAACUCUGCGGUAGCUGCGGUAACGUAUUGCCGUAUUGGUAAACACCACGAUUAAAUAUAUAUAGAUAUAUAGGUAGACACGAUCAAAAUGUAUACCACGAUAAUAUGAACCAGUCGGAGGAGAGUAUUUUACACGCAACAAAAUAAUACGACAAGUAGGGGAUUCCUCUUAACGCUCACUAUUGAUAGCUUAACGAAAUUAUUCGAUAAGUACUGUUAUCGAGUUACAGAAUUGAGUUUUAAUCGAGGUCCAUUGUGUUGUAUCACGUUUUUAUGCAUUCCAUUAUAUAUCAUUGAAUAUGUACGUUAAUAUUUUAAAGUAAUAGCACUGACAACAGGUAUAUAAAUUAACGAUAGUUCUAUUUUAAUUCUUGAAUAAAUAACACAUUCUUAGAAGUUACCUAAUAAAACAGUGAUAAAUAGAAUUUUUAAAUUUUAAACUAUGAUUAUAAUUUUACGACUAUCUAGUAAUGUCAACUACAAUAAAGAUUAAAAUAAUAUAUUAUUUUAAAAUAUUGUAAUUAUAUUUUAGCUGUAAGUAUCGGCGUCAAAAUAAAAUUGAGGCAGUCUAAUAUGAUACGGAAAAAAAUAGGACCGCCAAUGUAUAUCCUGUUAUACCCCAAAUGGCGCCCCUGCCUUGACCUAUAUAUUAUAUGGAUAUUUUUUUUAUUUUUGUCUAUUUUUGAUCCAUAACUUAUUGAUCCAAAAACUUAUUGAUCUCUAUAUUUUUCGUGGGUAUAGUUAUUUUUCUUAAAUCGUGUUUUUUACAAUACCUAUAACUUCUCAUCGAUCGAAUAUUGUCCAUUAUAGUUUCAAUAUGCCAGUAAUAAUAGUUAUAUUUUAUACUAUAUCUGAAAUUAAAUAUACUAAGCAAUCAUUUAUUAUCUACCAGUUAGGUUUUUUUUAACGUUAAUCAACAUUAUAUAUAAUAAAUGUAUGUGCACAUAUGUGUCAUGUAUGUAUGAAUGUAUAUAUGCAUGUAUGCUAAACUGGUCCUUGGUUAUAAAAGAAAUAAAAUUAAAAUUAUAAUUUUUGUUUCAGAGCUCCCCCUUCCUAUUUUUUCAUUACUCUAAAAAAAUAAUUUAGGUUAAAUUUGGUGAUGAUUACUCACCACUUUCUCGUGCCAUAAGAGGAUUGAAAUUUGAAAAAGAGUACAGUUUUAUAGUUUUUUGAGUUUAACUCAAAAUAUAUAGCACUUAACGCAUAAAUGUAUAAGACUUUAAUUGUAAAUUAUAGUUAAAAUAUUGCCUAUACAAAAUGUAUAUAUAAUUUCUCGUAAUAUAAUUAUAUCAUCUAUAAUAUUUUGUUACUGUUUUUAUUUUCUUGUUACCUGCAUGGGGGACAGAAAAUAUCGUUUUCAUAAAUACUUUUUAGUUAAUAGUUUAUUCUAUUUAUUUAUUUCUUAAAGUUUGUGUUUGUAUACAGUGCAAUAAAUAAUUGUGUACUUAUACCUACAAACAUAAUUAUAUUAUGCAAUGAUUGCCAUACAUUUUGUCAUUUAAAUUGUUGUGUUCGUUUCAUAGAAAAAAAAAAACCGACUGAGUAAAUUUCUCAAGUUGUUUUGCACAUUUAACUAGUGAUAAAAAAAAGUAUCCUUUAAUUUACUACCAUGUAAAUAUGGACUAUUCAAAUUGUCACUUUACUUUAAUCGGCUUAUUAGCUCUUUAAGAAUAAAUAUAAGAUAUGUGUAUUAUAAUACUUUUCGCCAAGUAGCCGAUAUAAUUCUGUUUGAAUUACGUAGCAUAUUUAUUGUUUUAAUAAUACAGGGUGAUGUCCUCUAAAGAUUCAUCCAAUUUCAGUAGGUUAUAUAUUUUGAACCUGUAGUCUUUGGUGAACCACCAACCACUUUAAAAAGUGGAUCGCCACGUUUUUUCCACUAUCAGUAAAUUUUGUUAAAGUGUACAAAGUGAGCAGAGUAAUGUUUAAUUUCGGGAGGGAGGGAGCUAAAAUAAUCAUUUAUUUAUUUUUUUAACAAUUAAGAGGUGCUAUGGUUGAUUUUGUUGGUUAUGUCCCUCUAGCUUCCGCCAAUCUCUGUCUAUGACUCAUUUUCAGAAAUACCUUUAUUUAAAAUUUUUGUGUAUAUUUUAUGUUCAUCAGGAUAACUCUUCCAGCAAAUAUUUUGUAUUGUUGUUUUAGAUACUUUGAAAUUUAUCCUUAUACAAAACUGGUGACGUAUACAUAGCCGUAAUAGAAGUUUUGUUUAUAAAUUAAUUUACGACCGUAUCGUUUUAUAUGAAAAUUGAAAAUUUUGGACGAUUUUGUAAUUUUUCCGUUUUCACCCGACUCACAGUUGUAUAUUUUGCAAAUAUAAUUAAGUCUCCACCGUCCAGCUUCUUUAAAUAUUUACAAUAUUAUUGUCAUCGUAUCGUGUCUGCGGAUAUUACAGGUUACUUAUUAUAUGAGUAUUACAAUGUAUAUAUGCGUAAUGUUAAUCGUUGUAAUUAUUAUUAUGUAAAGUCAACUAAGAUACUUCGUAUAAAGACAAACAAUAAGCAGAAUAUUAUGUAAUUUAUCUUGAACUAUAAUUAUAGCGUAAUUUUUAUUUGGAUACCAUUAUUCAGUAUUCAUUGACAUAAUUUAUUAUUAUCGAUUUUCAGUGUAUAAGGCGGUACUGUCGGUAAAUUUUGAAAUACAUAUAGAAACCUUUAAAUAAUACAAUUAAUAUCAUUGUUCCCAAGGAAGAAUGACUGAAGUUAAUUUUUGGUAUUUUUUUUUUACAAUUUUGUCUCAUGUAAUUUUUUUUCUCUUUAUUUUAGAUACUAGGUGAAGCGAAGAAGCUUUAAAUUUUACAAAGAUGUUUAUUUUAAUUUUUUUAUCUGAACAACUUUUCUACCAGAAAACUUUCUCAGAUUUUCAAGAGUAGCACCUUUUGUGAAAAGAGCGUGGAGAGGUACUUUAAGGAGGCCAUUUUUUGAUUUUCUCAGAAGUUUUUCCAUCAAUUUGUAUUUGGAAAACAGAAAAAAAACGGGAAAAUAUAAGAAAUGUUGGUAUUAGUUAAAAUAUAUAUUACGGCUUUCUUUCUUUCUGUGCACAACUUUUCUACCAGCAAUUUUGCUCCAAAUUUUAAUGACAGUAAUGUUUCUAAAAUAAAAUUUCACUUAGGAGGUAUUUUAAAGAGGUAAUUUUUUGAUUUUUCCAAUAAUGUUCUCAAAAAGUGUAAAAAACCAAGAUAAAAAAUGAGAAAAAUGGGAAAAACGUAGGAAAAUUGGGAAAAUCGGUACACAUUAAACAAGUAUUAUUAAAGAAAAUUUAUAAAGCCUUAUUAAUUAUUUUACUAUAAAAUCACAUAUAUAUAUAUUGUUGAAAAUACAUCACUAUCAAAUGAACUCAUCUCAAAAUGGUAUAAAUGAUUUAUCGUUGCUUACAAGUAUACAUUAAAUUAUCUAUAAUAGUGGCUGCACCUGUCUCCAUUUUAGAACGUCUUUUUUUGGUCCGAGUGGUAUAAGAGUAGAUAAUGUAUGUAUUAUUAUAUUAUAUUUUAAUACAUGUUGUGUUGAAAAUUAAAAUAUCUUAAGUUACUAUAUAAAAUUAUAAUGUACUUUUUGUUUGACAAGAGGCAUACCGACAUAUGUUGUGUUUAUUACACAUAUCUAGGUAGAAAUUUAGUUAUUUUUCAAUAAUUAUGUUAUUAUGUCAUUUAGCUAUUCUCCAAAUUUAAAUUGCUUGUAUUGAAAACUGUCCUAAGCCGGUCUAUUUUCCUGGUAUUAAAAAUGUAUAAUAUCAGAUAAACUGGAAAUUUACAAGCAGUGUCAUGUAUGAGAAAAAAUUUACGAGAUGUUAGUUCAAAUUUAUAUUAAAUAACCUUUAAGUACACUCUCUAAUUUUUAGUUCAAACUUAUAAACACAAUGUUUGACUAGAAAAAAAAUGUCGUGGGAUUUUCAGACCCCUGAAUCUACACUAUAUUCAGAGACGUUUUUACUCACAAAAAUUAUACAUAACUAAUAAUAAAUUAACCGAUUACCAGUAGGUAGCUAAUAUACCUAUAUUAUUAGUCAAUAUUAUUUUUCAUAUCAUCGCGUUUAUAAUAGUGUUAUUAGUCAACCUCCAAAAUCGGUAUUUUUUUUUUACAUGUCUACCUUGAAAAAUGUUAAAAUUAUACAGGUAUUGUUAUUUUUGUGUCGUAAUCGUCCGCGGUUUUAAAUUUAAUUAUUUCGUUAUACCUAAUGUAUAUCGACUUUUCAAUGUUAUCCAUAUUAAACCUUUGGUGAAAUUUUGCUAUCUGUUGCAGUAAUAAUUUCGAAGAAAAAAAUGGUAUUCAUUAAUAUGAUAAUAAUUAUCUAUUCGGUCGAUCAAGUAGAUUUCAAUAUUAAGAAAUUAUAAAAAAAAAUAAAACAAUGUCGAUUGAACACGAAGGAGAAAACUUUUAAUAUACAUACAUUUAAUCUAUGAUUUUUUUUCUUUUCAUAAUUUUCGAACACCUGCAUUUUAAAAAUAAAUACAAAAAUACAGCUGUUAAUACCUAUACGUAUAGUAAUUGUAAUUGAUAACUACAACGAAUAAUUAUAAUAAUAAUAAAACCGCUUAACGCUCGACCUUCAAAAUUAUUAUAUAUUUCAAACAUUUGUAUUUGUUAAAUUUUGCGUCGCGACCUCGCGGCCGGGUCUAUGACUUGAAUAAUUUUAACAACACACGUGACUGAACAUAAUAUUAAUGUAUCUAUCUACCUAAUAAAUUAUAAAAAAUACAUAACCACUCUAUAUUUUAAAAACCAUUCGUUCAUCAUGUCAUUAGAAAUUAUAGUCAAUUAUUUAAAGAAUUGUACAGUAGUAACAUAAUAUGUGCACUGUGUACAUGCUGAAUGAGAUUCGUACAAUAUAUACUAUGUAAAAUAUUAACUACCUAUCCGAGUUUCAAUGACUCGCGCGACGAGAUUCACUGUAAUAAUAUAUUUUACAUGUUAAGAAUUUUGUAGACACAACUAUUAUCGUGUAUGAAAAUUAUUGACCCCGCGAAAUAUAAAUAAUAUAAUAUAUUUCACUCGCAGUCUCAUUCCGCGUAAUUGCAAUUCUAUUGAAAUAACUUAAGAUUUGUGUCUAAUUCCGUCCAAAAUAAAGACUAUUGUGCUCUGUAUUGUGUCAGUUAUUUUUUUUCUCUUUCUCCAGUUUUUCAAAAGUCAUUAGGGCUCAUUACUGCAACAUAUACUUACUUCUAUGAGCGUUAUCAUGGGAGAGGGAAUAUGGUUAAUGGAUCCCCAAUGGCCUUUUUUUAAAAAAUUAAAAUUAAUUUUCAUUUUAACUGCUAUUUUGACUAGGAGUGGUGUAUUAAGCCGAGAAAUAAAUAAGAAAAUUCCUGCUGCUGAUUAUAAAAAACUUCUUUUACAAGAUGUUAGUUAUUUUGUCACGAAAAAUUCGAUGAGCCUUUUCAAUUAUUUUAAACUGAAACUGAAAGUUUUUUAAAAAAUCUUGAUGAAUGGAAGCAGGACGUAAGUUACAAAGAAUAUUUAGAUAUAUUAAAAGAAUUUAAAGUUGUAAAUGAUGUUGCUAAGAGAGAAGUAAGUCUCAUGCAAGAGUUCAAUAACUGUCUUACACGAUAUGAAGAGCAGCAUUAGUUCAUUCUUCAGUUUGUAAAUCAUACCUGAAAAUAUAACCCAAAUGUACAUAAAAAAAUGUACAAAAAUGAUUAUAUACAUCAGUUUUUUUACAGAUAAUUUGGUUUCUUACUUUAUUUUGUUUAAAACUAUUUAAAGAUGCUUUCAAUUCUAAGUUCUUUCGAUUACUUAUUUUAUCACUCGAUUGUUUUUUUUUUUUAUCAAAAAUGCAGAUUUUUUUUAAAUUUUCAACUAAUUAUAGUUUGCUAAUCAAUAACCAAAAACCGAUAUUAAGGUAUUUUCAUAACUUACAAAAUGAACCUUAUUCGAACAUUUUUGGUCGAAAAGUGACUGAAUUAUGUAACUUUAUCCGAAUAAAAACGUUAUAAAACUCAAUUUUGAUAGAUUUCUACGAAUGAGUUAUUUUUAUAACAGUAAAAUUUCACUUGAUUUCUUAUGUAUUCUUUUGUGAUCUUUAAGAAAAAACUAUGUUUACGAUCUCAUAACUUUUGAACUAGAUGAAUAAAUGCGAUUUAAUUGAAAGUAUCUUUAGUUUCCUAUAUGUAUUAUUUAAAUGAAAAAACUAAAUAUGUUGAGCAAGUUCUACACAUUUCUUUUUUGAGCUCAAAUUUUGUUUUUGAUUAACUUUGAGACCACAAGGAAACAAUUUCCAAUCUUAAUUAAAAAAAAAAAAUUCAAUUUCAAAUCAGCAAAAUAUAUAUAAUUUAUACAUGUAUAAUGUAUAUAUAAAGUUUUUGUGAUAGUAUUUUAUCGUCAUAAUAUUCAGUUAUUUAUUGUUUUGCAAAAAAAUGUUUCUGUAAUGCAAAAUAGGUGGUAAAAUAUUUGACUCUAACGACGGAGUUUUGCUGCUCAUUUAUGUUUUUUUUUCAGUUUUCUAUCUAAACAAGUUUACUUGAUACUUUUAUUUAAUCGUUUAUUUGUUUCGUCUUUAUAGAGCUAUGCGGUGGAGUGCGUUUAUAAGUAUCCAACGAGAGUUCGAGUCGUCGAAGUGGGACCGAGAGACGGACUCCAAAACGAAUCUAAAAUCAUACCGACGGACGUUAAAGUAGAGUUCAUCAACAGACUAUCCGCGACCGGACUUAAAAAUGUUGAAGCUACUAGGUACAUUUUGAGUAAAAUCCGAGUGUUUUUUUUCGUUUAUUCUAACAUUUAUUUUGAUACAAUUUUAGUUUCGUUUCACCGAAAUGGGUACCCCAAAUGGCCGAUCAUUCGGACGUAUACAGCAAAAUUAACAAAGUCCCCGGUGUCUCGUAUCCAGUUCUAGUGCCGAACAUGAGAGGUCUGCUUACAGCAGUACGUAUAUUAAAAUUAUUUGACGGUAAAAACAAUAAACAGUCACCUAUAAAUAGGAUAACUAUGUGCCUAAGAUCUAAAUAACACAAAAAGAAUCUAGUUGACAGGAGAUUUAAACUAUGGGAAAUAAUUUGCCUAUAAUUAUUAUAGUUGCUAAAGAGAUCUAAAUCACUUAGAUUCCCAGUUAGCUAGAUCCUCAUGAGUCAAUUAGUUCCUCACGAGAUGUAUAAUUAACCUGGGAUUUAUAGUUUACCAAAGACCGCGAUAUUUUUUUGCUAACGAAACCGUUUUUAUAGAUGCAACACGAUGUCAAAGAAAUCGCUGUAUUUGGAUCCGCCUCUGAAGGUUUUAGUCGAAAGAACAUCGGUUGCAGCGUAGCCGAGAGUCUUGAGAGAUUCGAAGACGUGGUAUCCACUGCUUUAGACCAUGGUAUCAAAGUCCGCGGAUACGUUUCCUGUGUUUGCGGAUGUCCGUACGAUGGAGCUGUGUCACCCCAAAACGUUGCGAGGGUAAAAUGAUACACCUUUAGUACCUUUUAUAUUCUUUAUAAGUUUCUGGAAUUAUACAUUUGAGCAAUCUGCUUCAAUUUGAAGUGUGGUGGGCGAUACUAUUUUGUGGGUCGAAAGUAUAAUAGAUACCCAAAGUAAAUCUUUGGUAUUUUUCAUUCAUAUACAAAAUAUUAGUAUUGAGUCAUUUAUAAAUUAAAGUUAAAAUAAACUAGACGAUCAUUGAUUUUUUUUUUUUACAAAGAAAUGGGUUCAAUAAAAUAAAUUAUUGAACUUUUAUAUAAACUUUUCAGUUUAUCAAGACACUGAUGUGACCACAGGUGGGCUCGACAGCGCGAAAAAUGGUAUUCUAUCUAUCUGUAAAUAAAUUGGUUACGGAUAUCGUUUCUUAGACUAAAACCGGGGUCACUCCACUGGGAGUGAGACUUCUCACAUGUUUUUUUUUUGUUUAUAUUAAUACACCAGAAGUAUUCAUGUACACUUUUGAAAUGUAUUUUUAAAGAUUUUUAAUCAUUAUAAUAAAACUUUUGGGCAGUUAAAAUUAAAUAAAAAAAACUGAUACCGUAACAUUGUAACAAUAUGAAUGAAUAUUUUUUUUCUGGAAAAAAAAACGUUUAAACGAAUGAAAACAGAGGAUAGCAUGUAGGAAAUUGUACCUACUUAAAAAAAACAAUGAUGGGAGCGGAUUUAAUAUAAUUUUAAUUCUUGAGCAGGUUAUAUCCAAGUCUGAUGGACUGUAAUUGUUGUAAUUAUUUCAUUGUCCUAUACAAAUGGAAUCCGAUGCAAAUAUCUCGAAUAAAAUUAAAAAUUAAUAUUAAUCCAGACUAUACAUUUAAAUUUGUGAACACUUUAAUGGGUAGUUGAGUGGAUUCCAAAAAAUCAUUUAGGAUUUCUAACUGUAUUCACGUAGCAGUACGAGAGUCGAGAAUACUAAUAAAAUUGUGUUUAACGCUUUUAGAUGUCGCAUGCGUUGUUUAAAAUGGGUUGUUAUGAGAUUUCUCUUGGUGACACAAUCGGUAUUGGCACACCAGGUGCAAUAAGAGCAAUGUUACAAGAAGUCCUGAACGUGGUGCCUGCCGAAAACUUGGCUCUACAUUGUCAUGACACUUAUGGACAGGCUCUGUCUAACAUACUCACUGCUCUUGAGGUAUGUCCACUAUAUUAAAAAUCAAAUACGUAUCAUUAUAACUUUAUUGCACGAGUAAUAUUCCAUUAUACUUUAUUAAAUAUUUGUUUAGACACGUUUAACGACUUAAAAACUUAAAUUUUACUUUUUAGUUACUGUUACAAAUUAAUCUAUAAUAACUAAAACAAUAUUAAUUGUUUUUAACUUUCAUAAGUAAAUAUUUUAUACUUAUUGUAUAUUUAAUACCCAAAUUUUACAAUGAGUUUUAUAUAUAAAAUACACCUGUUAAGACCUGCUUGACUAUUUCGCACUGUAUACAACUUAACAGGCAGUUGUGUGAAAUAGUUUUUUUAAUCCUAAAUUAUCAUUAUUAUCAUUUUAGAUGGGUAUUUCGGUAUUCGAUUCAUCAGUGGCUGGUCUCGGUGGCUGCCCAUAUGCUAAAGGAGCGUCCGGUAAUGUAGCUACUGAAGAUUUGAUUUAUAUGUUGCAUGGCAUGGGCAUUGAAACUGGCGUGAACAUGGAUCAGCUGUUGAGUGCUGGUCACUAUAUUUGUGAAGAGCUGGGGAAAAAUACAGAGUCCAAAGUGGCCAGAGCGCUGUCCGGUAAAGAUAAACCAAUGAAAUUCCUGCAAUCCUAUAAAAACCAGACUGUGGCUGUGCUAAAUAAAUAAUAAAGAAUGAUCAUAUCUACCAUAUGUACCAUAUUAUACCUACAUUAUAUACUGUUCAAUUUUACUAUUAUACUAUUUAUAUUUAAUAAUUUUUUUUUUAUUUUUUGGUUUUGUAUAGGUGUAAUAUAAUUUGGUACAUUUUUUUAAAAAAUAAUUAUUGACAUAAGACUGAAUCUAUUAUUAUUUUGUUUUAGUCUUAAACUAUAUCGUGUAUGUAUUUUUAUAUAAUUGAAUAUUAUUAUACAAUGUAUUAUAAAUUACCUAUUACAUGCAGUUAUUAUCGUGACGACAUCAAAUACAAUAUUUUAAUAACGGAUAAACAUAAUAUAAUAUACGAGGUGUGGCUAUUAAAUAACGAGACUGGUUACGAAAANGUGUUUUAUUAUAAAAAUUAUUCUACAUUCAAAUGCUCCCCUUCAAUAUACUCCCCUCCUCUCGCUACACUCCUUUCCAUACGUUUUUUCCAUUGAUCAAAGCAGUGCUGGAAGUCUUCUUUGGUGAGGGCCUUUAGGAGCUCUGCCGUUUUUUGCUUUAUCGCUUCCAUUGACUCAAAUCGGGUCCCUUUCAAAGCAGAUUUUAUCUUUGGAAACAAAAAAAAGUCGCACGGUGCCAAAUCUGAUAAAUAGUAAAUUUGGUUGACAGUCUGACCCUCUAGAAUCCAUUAAGUCAUCACGAUACCGUAAAUGUCAAAAAAAGCGAUCAACAUUGCCUUAAAUUUUGAUUUGGACAUCCUUGCUUUUUUGAUUCUGGGCGAUUCAGGUGUCUUCCAAUGCAUCGAUUGUCGCUUUGUUUCAACAUCGUAUUGAAAAAUCCAUGUUUCGUCGCAAGUUAUAAUGUUUUUCAUCAGUCCGGGAUCUUCUUUUAACUUUUCAAGGAAAUCUGAGCAGACCUGUUGACGCAAGAACUUUUGGUCAGGAGUCAGGUUUUUUGGCACCAACUUCGCACAGACUUUUGUCAUAUGUAAUUCCGCAUGUAAAAUUUUUCUAACCGUUUCUUUAUCGGCGUUUACAGUCUCGGCAAUCAUCCGGAUGCUCAUUCGACGAUCUGCACGCACAAUUUGGUUGAUUUUGGUCACUGUUUCCGGAGUUGAAACAGUGACAGGGCGACCUGGGCGCUGGUAAUCUUCAGUGCUUCCUCGGUCCUCACUAAAGCGCUUAUACCACUCAAAAACACGUGCACGAGAUAGAGAAUUCUCUCCAUAGGCCUCUUGCAACAAUUUAUAGCACUCGGUCGGAGUUUUUUUCAAUUUAACGAGAAAUUUGAGAUUGAUACGUUGCUCCUGUUUUUCGUCACACAUGGUUUUCGGCACGAGAAAAAAAACACGUUCGUUUCAAACCACUACUGCACAAAUACUGUAAUAGAGACGAGAACGUGUUUUGGUACGUGCAUAGAUAAGAUAUCUAUAUACCCAACGAAUCACUCGUUUUUUUCACUACCCAUUUAGGGCGCCCUCUAGGCGAGCAGUCUCGUUAUUUAAUAGCCACACCUCGUAUAAACACUUCGUUUCCUUUCAGCCCUAAACUGAUGAGCGUAAAAAUUAAGUUUUGUUUUCUUGAUAAUACUAGUAUAAAUUAUGUAUUAAUGUUUAUAUAUUAUGUGAUUAAAAUAUUAUCUGACAUGUAAUAUAAUAUCAUAUGGUUUUUAUAAACAUCUAUUCUUACUAAAUAAUAUAUUUAAAAUAAAAAUCAAUGUCUAUAAUGAUUAUUUUAUUAUGUAUAGUAUGUUGAUUGGUAUUAUACUUGUUAUAGUUGUAUAAAAGAUAAGUCACCGAAUAUAUUCUAUUUAUAUUAUGUUGUAUAAACAAUAAAACCUCAAUUAUUCUUCUGCAACUGGACCAAGAGAGUGACGGAU